UAGCGAAGGGGGCUAGCGUUGCUCGGGAAUCAACUGGGCGUAAAGGGUGCGUUAGGCGGGUCUUUAAGUUCAGGGGUGAAAUCCUGGAGCUCAACUCCAGAACUGCCUUUGAUACUGAGGAUCUUGAGUUCGGGAGAGGUGAGUGGAACUGCGAGUGUAGAGGUGAAAUUCGUAGAUAUUCGCAAGAACACCAGUGGCGAAGGCGGCUCACUGGCCCGAGUACUGACGCUGAGGCACGAAAGCGUGGGGAAGCAAACAGGG
rnacentral:rRNA from 1 species